GCCAAGCUAGGUAACGCUAGCUUGCAACUCGAGUGAGGGUAUUAAGGUGGUUUAGGGGUGAACACACUACUCAGAGGGAUCCUUGCUCGCUUGGUAGAGCACAAUACGAAACCCGAGCGUCUAGCCAUAUUG
rnacentral:SRP_RNA from 1 species